UACGUAGGGUGCGAGCGUUGUCCGGAAUUAUUGGGCGUAAAGAGCUCGUAGGCGGUGUGUCGCGUCGGCCGUGAAAACCUGGGGCUCAACUCUGGGCGUGCGGUCGAUACGGGCAUCACUUGAGUUCGGCAGGGGGGACUGGAAUUCCUGGUGUAGCGGUGAAAUGCGCAGAUAUCAGGAGGAACACCGGUGGCGAAGGCGGGUCUCUGGGCCGAUACUGACGCUGAGGAGCGAAAGCGUGGGGGAGCGAACAGG
rnacentral:rRNA from 1 species